CGUUAUCUUUUCUUUGUACUAGGUCUUCAAAAUUCGACGAGAAUUGCUGCAUAUCUCAGUUUGGUCUAACUACGUUUCAAAUGCUCCAUAGCCACUUGGGGUGAACGGCUUCCAUAUUGGACAGCGCCGCUCUAAGUCGUGGCCUAGAAGGCCAGCUGGUCUUCUGUAAGAACAAAAGGGUAAAACUUUUUAAAACUGCGUUACUGAAAAGCGACAACUGUAAAAAUUACACCACCACCCCCAUCGGAUAAAACCAACCAACCAAAUAAUUGUCAAGAACAGCUGACUGGAGUCUCACCAAAAUUGAAUUCGUUGUAAUGGGGUCCAGAGGUGGCCCUUAGAGAGAGAGCCAACUCUUCUCCAUAGAAGUUUUACGAAAGGUUUUGUGAUUAAACUGUUCCCACCAACUCUGCUCUGUGUGGCGUGCUUCGGGGUAACAGCAGCGAUGUAUUAAUUUAUCUCUGAUUGGAAGUUCUGUUCUUCACCCACCACUGACAAGCUGAGGCUUGGAAAAUGCUCCUUGAAUAAGCCAGAGUGUCACCAACACCAGCAGGGUCAGCUCCAGUCCCAGCCUCCCAUCAAGCUUCUUGGACCAAGGCCAGCCUCCUGUGGAGAGGGCCUCCGGUGGAGGGGCCAGUGUGCAGAAUGAUGAGGGGAUCUGCUCACCGGCUUUAGAGGCGAGAAUCUGGGAGUGAGGAGGUUACCUGGGCGCCUCGUCUCUGCUUUUCCAGAUAUUGUGCGCUUAAUGGGCAGCCUGCAGAACAGGGAUGUGCCCAGCCCUCUCUCUGCUGCCUUGAAAUCUUCAAAACAAGAGUUGGAGGUCGGCUGCAGCAUCCUGGGAAACACGGCCUCCUUCAGGGUGCGGGGGAGGAAAGGGAGUGGCUGAGGAGCCAGACAUCUGGGUCUGGAUCGGGGCUUCACCGCUUUCUUGCUCUGUUUUGGAAGAAGGCAGAAGCAGCCCUGUGGAUUAAGACCCUAGCCCCAGAAGACGCAGAACCUUUGACCUCGAGCUGCCCUGUGGAAUCUGAGCCACCUCUGGAGAAACUCAGAAUGACUGAGCCUGUUAAUGGACUCCAUCCCUUUGUGGAGUAUCUGAAAUUGUGGUCAUUUAGAGCAUUAUUAUGGAAUUGUUUAUUGACCUGUAUAAACACAUACACCAUUUAUCACUAUAAAUGUAACAGGUGCCUCCCAGGCUGCCAGCUGGAGGUACUUUAGGGUCCCCAAAUAGGAACAGAGCAGUAUUUUUCAGGCUCGGCUCUCUUCAUAAAGAACUGCAGAAACCUCAGACUUCUUUAAAUUCCCCCUUUGGGUUCCAGGCAGGAGAGGUUUGGGGGAGGGACUCUGUGGCAUCUAGAAAAUUGCUGUCUUUCUCCACAUUCUACAUAGUUACCUGACUUUCCAUGGAAAAUGCUAAUGGUAGAGCAACCGCUCACGACACAUACUGCUCUUGUCUUUUUCAUCUCGAUGGAGGGGAGUUCUCAAUAUUUCACAGCAAUGGCCUCAUUCAUUCAUUCAACAAACACUUAAAUUGAAUGCCUAUUAUGUGCUAAGCAUUGCUCUAGGUUGUAGGAUUAUGGCUCCAAACAAAGCAGAUCCAGUCCCUCCUCUCAUGGUGCUUAUAAUCUAGUGAGAGAAAGAGAUGCUCUAUGAAAAAGUCAGUACAAGUCAGGUGAUGACAUGUGCUACAAAGGAGAGUAAGGCAAGAAAAGGGGUGUAGAGCAGCGGUGGAGUGAGUGCUAUUUAAUACAGAGAAGGUGAUAUUUGAGCAGAGAUUUGGAGGAAGCGAGGGAGUGAGCCAUGUGGAUAUCUGAAGAAAGAGCAUUCCAGGCAAAGAGAUAGCAAGUUCAAAGGAAUACAAGCAGGCUUGACAUAUUUAAGGAACAGCAAGAAGGCCAGUAGAGAUGGAAGGGAAUAACGGAGGGAGGGGAGAGUAGGAGCUAGUGUGGGCAGGUCACAUGGGACCUUAUAGGCCAUGUUGUUCCAUUGAGUUGUUCCUUUGAGUCUCACUCUGAGUGAGACAGGGAGCACUGAAGGGUUCUGAGCAGAUGAGGGAGAUGAUCUGACUUCUAGUUUAACAACAUCUGACGGCUGUGUGGAGAACAGACUGUAGCGGGUGAGGGGCGAGGGUAGAAGCAGUGCUAUCAGUUAGGAGGCCACUGCACUUGUCAAGGGGAGGGAUGGGGACGGCUUGUAAUAGGGUGAUAAUGGUGGCUGUGCUGAGCAAUGGUCAAAUUCUGGGUAUAUUUAGAAGGAAGGGUUAACAGAAUUUGUGACGGUUUGAAUAUGAGUGUGAGAGACAGAGAGGAUGACUAAAGAUUUUGGCUUUAGCAAUUGGUUAAAAUGGAAAAGCCAUUUACUGAGGUGGAGACAACUGAAGGAGGAUUAGGUUUGGGUGGUAAAACAAGUGUUCCAUUUUGACGUAUAAAAUGUUGAGUAAGUGGUUGGAAAUGUGGGGUUGGCAUAAGGGAAGAUUUGGGGUUGGAGAGAUACAUUUGGGAGCACAGCAUACAAAGAAUAUUUUAAGCCGGGUACUAAACGAAGUCAGAGGGAGUGCAGAUGAAGAAGAUGCGGUCUAAGGAUGGAGUCUGAAGCCCUUUGAUGCUUAGAGGUCAGAAGAGAGUGAGAAAGAGUGACCACUGAGGUCUUCUUGCAAAUAAAGUGAAGAAAGUAUUUAAGAAGGAAUGAUCA
rnacentral:lncRNA from 1 species